AUACAGAGGGUGCGAGCGUUAAUCGGAAUUACUGGGCGUAAAGCGCGCGUAGGCGGCUUGGUCAGUCGGAUGUGAAAGCGCUGGGCUCAACCUGGGAAUUGCAUUCGAUACUGCCAAGCUAGAGUAUGGGAGAGGGAAGUGGAAUUUCCGGUGUAGCGGUGAAAUGCGUAGAUAUCGGAAAGAACACCAGUGGCGAAGGCGACUUCCUGGCCCAAUACUGACGCUGAGGUGCGAAAGCGUGGGGAGCGAACAGGAUUAGAAACCCUAGUAGUCC
rnacentral:rRNA from 1 species